AACGUAGGAGACAAACGUUAUCCGGAGUUACUGGGCGUAAAGGGCGUGUAGGCGGUUUGUUAAGUCUGGCGUGAAAGCUCUCGGCUAAACCGGGAGAGGUCGUUGGAUACUGGCAGACUAGAGGACGGUAGAGGCGUGUGGAAUUCCGGGUGUAGUGGUGAAAUGCGUAGAGAUCCGGAGGAACACCAGUGGCGAAGGCGACACGCUGGGCCGUACCUGACGCUAAAGCGCGACAGCGUGGGGAGCAAACGGG
rnacentral:rRNA from 1 species